rnacentral:pre_miRNA from 1 species
CUGAGGAGCAGGGCUUAGCUGCUUGUGAGCAGCGUCCACACCAAGCUGUGCUCACAGUGGCUACGUUCUGUCCUCCAG